AACUAACCAACCUAAACGUUGGUAAGAAAAAAAAUCAGAAUGAGACCUUCCUCCAGGAUGGGGCCUUCAGCCCAUAUCACUUACGCCCUAGGCGUUAUCAUCAUGGCAGCAAUGGUUGCUGCGUAUGAACCAUACAGCUUGCCACCACUCCCGUCAUAUUCACCAUCUCCAAAGAUAGAAUACAACACUCCUCCCCUACCAUAUAUCCAUAGUUCCUCACCACCACCACCACUAUACUAUUCUCCAUCACCAAAGGUUGACUACAAAUCACCUCCUCCACCAUAUGUCUACAGUUCCCCACCACCUCCUUACUAUUCCCCAUCACCUAAAGUUGACUACAAAUCUUCUCCACCACCAUAUGUCUACAGUUCUCCACCACCACCACCAUACUAUUCACCAUCUCCUAAGGUAGAAUACAAGUCUCCUCCACCACCAUAUGUUUACAGCUCCCCACCACCACCACCAUACUACUCACCAUCUCCUAAAGUUGAGUACAAGUCUCCUCCACCACCAUAUGUAUACAGUUCCCCACCACCACCAUACUAUUCACCAUCUCCUAAGGUUGAAUACAAGUCUCCUCCACCACCAUAUGUUUACAGCUCCCCACCACCACCACCAUACUACUCACCAUCUCCUAAAGUUGAGUACAAGUCUCCUCCUCCACCGUAUGUAUACAGUUCCCCACCACCACCACCAUACUACUCGCCAUCUCCCAAGGUUGAAUACAAAUCUCCUCCACCACCAUAUGUUUACAGUUCUCCACCACCACCUCCAUACUACUCGCCAUCACCAAAGGUUGACUACAAAUCUCCUCCACCACCAUAUGUCUACAGUUCUCCACCACCACCAACAUAUUAUUCACCAUCUCCUAAGGUUGAGUACAAGUCUCCUCCACCACCGUAUAUCUACAGCUCUCCACCACCACCAUAUUAUUCCCCAUCUCCUAAGGUUGUGUACAAGUCUCCUCCUCCGCCUUAUGUCUACAACUCACCACCACCACCAUACUAUUCUCCAUCUCCCAAGGUAGAUUACAAGUCUCCUCCACCACCAUAUGUUUACAGCUCCCCACCACCACCACCAUACUACUCACCAUCUCCUAAAGUUGAGUACAAGUCUCCUCCUCCACCGUAUGUAUACAGUUCUCCUCCACCACCAUAUUAUUCUCCAUCUCCUAAGGUUGUAUACAAAUCUCCUCCACCACCGUAUGUCUACAGUUCUCCACCACCACCAUAUUAUUCACCUUCUCCUAAGGUACACUACAAGUCUCCUCCACCACCGUAUGUUUACAGUUCUCCACCACCACCAUACUACUCUCCUUCUCCAAAGGUACAUUACAAAUCCCCUCCACCACCAUAUGUCUACAGCUCUCCACCACCACCAUAUUAUUCACCAUCCCCUAAAGUUCAUUACAAAUCUCCACCACACCCGCAUGUAUGUGUCUGCCCACCACCUCCUCCAUGUUAUGCUCCUUCACCAAAAGUAACAUACAAAUCUCCUCCACCACCAUAUGUUUACAGUUCUCCACCACCACCAUACUACUCACCUUCGCCUAAGGUGUAUUACAAGUCUCCUCCACCACCAUAUGUUUACAGCUCACCACCACCACCACCAUACUACUCACCAUCUCCUAAGGUUGAAUACAAGUCUCCUCCACCACCAUAUGUUUACAGCUCACCACCACCACCAUACUACUCACCUUCCCCUAAGGUGUACUACAAGUCUCCUCCACCACCAUAUGUCUACAACUCUCCACCCCCACCACCAUACUACUCUCCAUCCCCUAAAGUAGACUACAAGUCUCCUCCACCUCCAUAUGUCUACAGUUCUCCACCACCACCUUAUUAUUCUCCUUCUCCAAAAGUUGAGUACAAAUCUCCACCACCACCAGCUACAUAUUACUGAAAACCAGUAAAUGCGACUCUUAAAUGAGCUAUUGAAUGUUAUGUGAUUUCAUAUUUCAUUUCUUGUUAUAACAUGUAUGCUAUCAAUUUUAAUUUUCUUGGGAAUGUCUUAAUAAAUUGGUUAUAAUUCCUUCAUAUGGUUUUGUGUGUUUUCUGUUAUUAACUUUCUGCAAAGAUUGCUUGUGGUCUAUUUGUAGUCAUUUGCAAAUUGCGAUUAUGAAUUGCUUAUUCUUGACAUGGUAGUUUUGAACAACUACGUAAUCCUGGUUACAUAAGUUUUGUAUAUGGAUUGCAAAGAUUUUUUGAAAUUCUAUUGUAGUCUUGUUCGGAAACAUGAUUA
rnacentral:lncRNA from 1 species